AUUGAACGCUGGCGGCAGGCUUAACACAUGCAAGUCGAACGAGUGGCGGACGUGUGAGUAAUGCUUGUGACUCUAGCUUCUGGAGGGGGAUAACUACGGGAAACUUUAGCUAAUACCGCGUACCAUAGGAUGAGCCCAAGUGGGAUGAGGUAGUUGGUGAGGUAAAGGCUGACCAAGCCGCCGAUCUCUAGCUGGUCUGAGAGGAUGACCAGCCACACGGGGACUGAGAAACGGCCCAGACUCAUACGGGAGGCAGCAGUGGGGAAGAUUGCGCAAUGGGGGAAACCUGACGCAGCAAUGCCGCGUGAAUGAAGAAGGCCUUCGGGUUGUAAAGUUCUUUCGGUAGCGAGGCGUUAACUACAGAAGAAGCACCGGCUAACUACGUGCCAGCAGCCGCGGUAAUAC
rnacentral:rRNA from 1 species